CCAUGUUGAAAGCAGAGCUGUAGUCAAUGAAAAGUACUCUGAUGUAAGAGUCUUUAUUUUCCAGGUGGGAGAGGGAGGCGUGCAGGGCGGCGGCAAUGGCAUCCGAGGUUGACCUGUUGUGCCUGUAAGCGUACUGCAGGGGGUCUGUGGUGUCCGGUAUGCAGCCCUGAAUGUGUACAUGCUUGGUUUGGGA